UACGUAGGGGGGCAAGCGUUGUCCGGAUUCAUUGGGCGUAAAGAGCGUGUAGGCGGCCAGGUAGGUCGGUUGUGAAAACUGGAGGCUCAACCUUCAGAGGUCGACCGAAACCAUCUGGCUAGAGUCCGGGAGAGGAGAGUGGAAUUCCUGGUGUAGCGGUGAAAUGCGCAGAUAUCAGGAAGAACACCAAUGGCGAAAGCAGCUCUCUGGGACGGUACUGACGCUGAGACGCGAAAGCGUGGGGAGCGAACAGG
rnacentral:rRNA from 1 species